rnacentral:rRNA from 1 species
UACGUAGGGUGCGAGCGUUGUCCGGAAUUAUUGGGCGUAAAGAGCUCGUAGGCGGUCUGUCGCGUCUGCUGUGAAAACUCAGGGCUUAACCCUGAGCUUGCAGUGGGUACGGGCAGACUAGAGUGCGGUAGGGGAGACUGGAAUUCCUGGUGUAGCGGUGAAAUGCGCAGAUAUCAGGAGGAACACCGGUGGCGAAGGCGGGUCUCUGGGCCGUAACUGACGCUGAGGAGCGAAAGCAUGGGGAGCAAACAGG